rnacentral:tRNA from 1 species
GUAGCUCAGUGGUAGAGCACAUGCCUAGAGUGCCUGAAGUUCUGGGUUCAAUUCCUAGUACG